rnacentral:tRNA from 2 species
GUUCCCGUAGCUCAGUAGGAUAGAGCAGCCGCCUCCUAAGCGGCAGGUCGCAGGUUCGACUCCUGCCGGGAACGCCA